UUACACACACUAAUCAAAAUUAUGUCAUAAAACGUAUAAUUCGAGCUAUUCGUUUAAUUGGAGUUAUCUAUAUUGAAAACCAUUAACAUUUGUUGACAUGCAAUAUGAGUAGUGUCAAGGUUGCAGUUUCUUAACUGCAGUAUACCGAUGUCGGACUGCUCAGUCGUAUAAUACAUUGUUGUCGAUGGUGGACAGAGCACAAGGAUCGCGUUGAUGCUGCGCCGGUGGGCUGCGGGCUGCGGGCGGCGGGCGGCGGAGGGCGGCGAUGCUAUCGAGGGUCAGCGGGGUGACGAGAUAGUGAGCGCGCGGCCGCGGCCGUCUCGCCGCAGUGGAUCACUCUGUUUUGUAUAUACAAUAUCCAACACAGACAGGCCGCUAUCAGACCGUAAUAAGACCGAGGAUGUCGCGACGAAAACACUUUCAACAAAUUAGAUUCAGAGACGCAUUUGUGUAGCUCGGAGCUCAAUUUAGCCAUUGACAGAGCGAUGUUAUAAAAGCCCUCCAGACGAGGUCUCUAUUGAGAUUGAUCAGACUCGAGGAAGUGAUCUCUCGAGAGGCCCACAAUCUGUCGUGCUCCCCCUCGCCCCUCGCCUCUCGCCGCCCCCAAGCGGCGGUGUUCUACACCAUACAAUACAUUUAAUGACGCACUACGCAUCAGGUAGAAGCUUCACUUGGUAUAAACAUGACGCGCAGGGCGCACUCGGAUUUAAGUUUUACACAAAGUGUCAAAUUGUAAAUAUCUUCUCAAUAGGCGACUAUGGCCACAUUAGCAACUCAACCGUUGCUUAAAUUAUGUCGAUAGUUUAUUAAUUAACAGAACCAGUGUCAUUCAUUUGCACUCGAUUGUUGCGCAUCGCAUAUGCAGCAUGUGUUUAAAUAAUUAUUUACAUAUUAUAAAUUGUAUCCGGACAUGUAUUUGUGAAGCGACACACGACUUUACAUUUAAUUAGCUACGAUGACUUGGGGCGACCUGACUCGCGCACAUAAUGGCUUACCGCUUCCACUGCCUCUUGUUAUUUAUGUCUUUCAGGUAUUAAUGUAAGCAGAAUUUUUCGCUAGAUUUAUUUAGUUCUCUUAGCAUUUCCUGAAGUGUUUACAAAAAGAACUAUGUCUUAUUUUGGUUUAUUCCUUUGCUGUUCCAUUUUUGAUCACUCAUUAUAUUCUGUAGGAUAGCUAUGUAGAUUAUGUUGAAGUAUAUUACAAUAAAAAUAUAGUAAAUGUAAAUCAGUCGAAAUGUUUAUCAAAGAUUACAUGCCUAGCUUUCAAGGGGCAAAGCGCGGGGCAUUCGAGACGCAGAGUGCACUGCUACAACCCCCGCAGCGUUCAAAGGGUUAAGUUAUUUAGUGCGUUGAAGCUUGAAGCGCGUGCAGAAGAGCCGGCGGGCACAAGCAGCCGUGCGCACUGCACACGUCGCUGCUGCUGUGAGAUUAACUUUUACUUUAACGUUUAAGUUAACGCAUAUUUAACUUUGACGUGCAUCAAUGAACAAACCAAAACGACUGGUGUACUUCGCCAGGCGCGCGCGUGUCGGAGGAAAGGUUAUAAAGUUUAUAUUUAGAAGAGCACCGACUCAGUAGAUCGAUAUGUCUACCGAAUGCGAUACGGAAGUUCACAUUGGUUCAUUUGCUUGCAUAAGAAAAAAAUAUGAGACAGUGGAAUUAAAUGAUAUAGCUGAUUUCCUAUAACGUACGCGCAUACAACCUCUAACAUCUAGGCAGCAGGCGGCAGAGAGCGGGGGCGAGGGCGGGGGCGGUAGGUCCGGGUUCGGAAGGACCGGUUGGAGCCCGAGUCCACAAAAAAAGCCCGGCUCGUCCGGCGGCGGCGGCCGACGGGCUGCGGGUGCGAGCCGGUGUUUACGUCUAAUUAGCUGCAACCGGCUCAGAGUCUAGGGUGGCCGGCGCUCUAACAAAAUGAAGCAUUUUGUGGGAGGGGGAGGCAGCGACCACACGAGCCACCAGAGCGCACGGUGCGGGGGCUGGGGGGCGGCGCACGCGGCUCGUGUUGCAGACAUUCGAUACCGUCAAGCUUCGUUUUGCACAACGUGUCCAGGUAUCUACAUGGUAAACCAGCGCGACUAAAUUCUUGUAGUUUUAUGUAUCCGCGCUAUAAAAUUGUCACUUAUAAUCAUUUUAAUUCAAGGUACUCAAAACUUCCAUACUUACCACUGUAACAGAGCCAAUUGAUGGCUGGACUAUUAUUAAAGAAAACGAACUGUGUAUUGUUUGAAAUAAAUUGGUCGCCCUAGA